rnacentral:rRNA from 1 species
UACGAAGGGGGCUAGCGUUGCUCGGAAUCACUGGGCGUAAAGCGCACGUAGGCGGAUUGCUAAGUCAGGGGUGAAAUCCUGGAGCUCAACUCCAGAACUGCCUUUGAUACUGGCGAUCUCGAGUCCGGGAGAGGUGAGUGGAACUGCGAGUGUAGAGGUGAAAUUCGUAGAUAUUCGCAAGAACACCAGUGGCGAAGGCGGCUCACUGGCCCGGAACUGACG